GAUUGAACGCUGGCGGCAUGCCUAACACAUGCAAGUCGAACGGUAACAGAACUAGCUUGCUAGUUGCUGACGAGUGGCGGACGGGUGAGUAAUGUAUAGGAACUUGCCUAAUAGUGGGGGACAACUUAUGGAAACGUAAGCUAAUACCGCAUACGCUCUACGGAGGAAAGCAGGGGAUCUUCGGACCUUGCGCUAUUAGAUAGGCCUAUAUUGGAUUAGCUAGUUGGUGAGGUAAUGGCUCACCAAGGCGACGAUCCAUAGCUGGUUUGAGAGAAUGAUCAGCCACACUGGGACUGAGACACGGCCCAGACUCCUACGGGAGGCAGCAGUGGGGAAUAUUGCACAAUGGAGGAAACCCUUAUGCAGCCAUGCCGCGUGUGUGAAGAAGGCCUUAGGGUUGUAAAGCACUUUCAGCAGGGAGGAAAGGUUGAUGUUUAAUAGGCAUUAGCUGUGACGUUACCUGCAGAAGAAGCACCGUCAAACUCCGUGCCAGCAGCCGCGGUAAUACGGAGGGUGCGAGCGUUAAUCGGAAUUACUGGGCGUAAAGCGCGCGUAGGUGGCUUUUUAAGUCAGAUGUGAAAGCCCUGGGCUCAACCUAGGAACUGCAUUUAAAAACUGUCAGGCUAGAGUAUGGUAGAGGAUAGUGGAAUUUCCGGUGUAGCGGUGAAAUGCGUAGAGAUCGGAAGGAACAUCAGUGGCGAAGGCGGCUAUCUGGACCAAUACUGACGCUGAGGUGCGAAAGCGUGGGGGAGCAAACAGGAUUAGAUACCCUGGUAGUCCACGCCGUAAACGAUGUCAACUAGCCGUUGGGGGGCUUGUCCCCUUAGUGGCGCAGCUAACGCGAUAAGUUGACCGCCUGGGGAGUACGGCCGCAAGGUUAAAACUCAAAUGAAUUGACGGGGGCCCGCACAAGCGGUGGAGCAUGUGGUUUAAUUCGAUGCAACGCGAAGAACCUUACCAGGUCUUGACAUCCCGAGAAUUUACUAGAGAUAGUUUAGUGCCUUCGGGAGCUCGGUGACAGGUGCUGCAUGGCUGUCGUCAGCUCGUGUCGUGAGAUGUUGGGUUAAGUCCCGUAACGAGCGCAACCCUUGUCCUUAUUUGCCAGCACGUAAUGGUGGGAACUCUAAGGAGACUGCCGGUGACAAACCGGAGGAAGGUGGGGACGACGUCAAGUCAUCAUGGCCCUUACGAGUAGGGCUACACACGUGCUACAAUGGCCGGUACAGAGGGCUGCUAAACCGCGAGGUGGCGCUAAUCUCAGAAAACCGGUCGUAGUCCGGAUCGGAGUCUGCAACUCGACUCCGUGAAGUCGGAAUCGCUAGUAAUCGCGAAUCAGAAUGUCGCGGUGAAUACGUUCCCGGGCCUUGUACACACCGC
rnacentral:rRNA from 1 species